AUACGUAGGGUGCGAGCGUUAAUCGGAAUUACUGGGCGUAAAGCGUGCGCAGGCGGUUCGUUAAGUCUGAUGUGAAAGCCCCGGGCUCAACCUGGGAAUGGCAUUGGAAACUGGCGGGCUGGAGUGUGGCAGAGGGGGGUGGAAUUCCGCGUGUAGCAGUGAAAUGCGUAGAGAUGCGGAGGAACACCGAUGGCGAAGGCAGCCCCCUGGGCUGACACUGACGCUCAGGCACGAAAGCGUGGGGAGC
rnacentral:rRNA from 1 species